GAUGAAGAACGUAGCAAAAUGCGAUAAGUAAUGUGAAUUGCAGAAUUCAGUGAAUCAUCGAAUCUUUGAACGCACAUUGCGCCCCUUGGUAUUCCGGGGGGCAUGCCUGUUCGAGCGUCAUUUCAACCCUCAAGCUCUGCUUGGUAUUGGGCUCCGUCCUCCUCGGACGCGCCUCAAAGACCUCGGCGGUGGCGUCUUGCCUCAAGCGUAGUAGAAACACCUCGCUUUGGAGUGCAUGGCGUCGCCCGCCGGACGAAACCUUUUGUAUUUUCUCAAAGGUUGACCUCGGAUCAGGUAGGGAUACCCGCUGAACUUAAGCAUAUCAAUAAGCGGAGGA
rnacentral:misc_RNA from 1 species